rnacentral:lncRNA from 1 species
UUUUUAUUUUUUGAGGUGUACACACACAGUUACGCUUCAUGGAGUUGCAUCCAGCCAAGUAUCCAUGUUCUUCUUGUGAAGAGGCAGAGAAAAUCACCUCUCCCAAGAAUUUCCACCUUCUGAACAAGGGAAAUGUAUCCUUAAGAGCUGUAUGCAGAUGGGAGGCAACUUGUUUGCUUGUUCUGCUGCUAGAGCAUUGGUUUAA